rnacentral:rRNA from 1 species
AGAAUCAACGCUGGCGGCGUGCCUAACACAUGCAAGUCGAACGCGAAAGUGGAGCAAUCCAUGAGUAGAGUGGCAAACGGGUGAGUAACGCGUGGGUGAUUUGCCUCAGGGGGGGAUAACCUUCCGAAAGGAGGGCUAAUACCGCAUGACAUCGCGCUCUUAGAUGAGCGUGGAUCAAAGCUGGAACCCGCAAGGGUCUGGCGCCUGGAGAGAAGCCCGCGUCCGAUUAGCUAGUUGGUGGGGUAAUGGCUCACCAAGGCGACGAUCGGUA